rnacentral:rRNA from 1 species
UACGUAGGCAGCGAGCGUUGUUCGGAGUUACUGGGCGUAAAGGGUGUGUAGGCGGUCCCUUAAGUUUGGUGUGAAAUCUCCCGGCUCAACUGGGAGGGUGCGCCGGAUACUGAGGGGCUAGAGUGCGGGAAGGGAAAGUGGAAUUCCGUGGUGGUAGCGGUGAAAUGCGCAGAUAUCAGGAAGAACACCAAUGGCGAAGGCAGCUCUCUGGGACGGUACUGACACUGAGACGCGAAAGCGUGGGGAGCAAACAGG